rnacentral:lncRNA from 1 species
AUGCCCAUGCACCUCGUCAGCAGGCCUGGUGAGAACUAUGGUCUUCACCAAACCUGCACACAGCAGCUGCUCAGCCGAGCCGCUGCCUUCACUCACGCACGGAGGGUAUCCACACGCCUUCAAGUCAACAUGAUGCUUUCCGUGGCUCGUUACAAACGAUCUGAGAUAUAUGAAGUAAGUUUCUACCAGAGCCAAAUGUUAUCGACUCCUCACUGAAGUCGUCCACCAGUCCAACCACUGGAAUCCAGCUGCUGCUCUCUAACUGAUCCACACAGCAGCUCAGACCUGACACAUUCACUGUAAACACACUGGUUUAUAUUCUGUUUGUUCUCCUCAUGAAGGAAACCUCAGAAGGUCUGAAAUGUGAGUGUGUGUCUUCCCCUCACUGGUUGUUUCUGUCUGAUGGAAACAUGAAUUCUUGUGGCUAACAAACACACCUGUCUGAGAUAACAAAGAACAAACAUGAGUCGACUUCAGCCACAAAGUAAAAGCUGCAGGAACAUUUGGUCAGUUUUUCUCUCAGGAGUCAUAAAGAGAACAUCUGUAACAUCUGUUACUCGGACGAUCGUUGUCAGAAAGUCAAUAACUGUGAUGGCUGCAGUCACAGCCACAGAGUGGUAAUAUCCACCAAAUUUUAGUCUAAAGGCUUACACAACACCAAACUCGCAUUAUUUGUUUCUUUAAAGGUCCUGCAUCAGUGUUUCCCAAACACGACACAUGUUUAACAUUAAAAAAACACCACCAAACCAAAAAGUCACAAUAAGUGUAUUGAUAAUUUUCCCCGUGCACCAGGCAUAGCGGACUUGGCUCAGUUUUUCCUCAGUAUACCUUUUUUGCUUUCUUCUGACCACUAAUCCUGCUAGUGCCUGGGUCAGAAUUCUCUCCAGGACCCAGGUCAGACUGACUACUUUUUCUUUUCAGAUACUUAUCUAUACGCGCCACGUUAUCUCACUCACAGCAUGACUUUUAUGUAGCAGCUGUAUUACUCACCCCGGCUCCUUAGAGUCCUAAUCAGGUGGAACCAGUCUUCAUAAGAGAAUGAAUCACUGUUUAUGUGAUGUCACUGUGAGAUACAAUGAUUUAAAAUCUGAAUAUUAACACAUCAAUGUGAAAAUGUAAACAGUGUACAGAUAUAAAUAUUUAUGGCUGAUUUGUCACAUGGAUUCAUAUCUUAUGAAUUUAUAUUUAUCACUUAUUUUAACAGGUACCAGAUGUGGUUUGUAAAAUGAUGGACAUUCUUUUACUCUAUUAAUAAACUGCCUUCAUGUACAGUGUGUAGGGUUUUUCUUUCUGAGUGAAAUUGUCUUCAACAGACAGUAACGUGUAUAUGUUAGAGCGCCCUCCAGUGGAGUUAGACUGUGCUUCUGUUUCUAUGUGGCCCACUGCGCAUGCUCAUCAGGAUGUUCCUCACAUACAAACAACAUGUGUGUCUCUGAGCAGCUUUUACCAACCACCGUAGAAAUUCAUGAGACUGUAAUAAGUGUAUUGAUGCUUAUUGCAGCUCUGUCAGCUGUCAGGGCUGCAGGGGGGUUGUAUUCACAGGAAGUGACCACUGCUACCAGAAAUAUCACGGUGUGACAGGUAUCAGGUGUGACGUCACCUGAAAGCAGGUUAUACUUGAUGAUGGUAUUUAUUUAUUUAUUUUUGUCAAGCUUGAUUCUUUAACAAGAAAGUGAUUUGCUGCUGUGCCAAGAUUAAACCAUGGCCUCGUGCUGCCAUCUACUGACAUUAAAGUGUAACAACACUCUCCAACUCUGAGUCUGCUCUGCGCUCAUGUAAGUUUAAUGUUUCCACUUUGUGAAUGUGCAGUAGCUGUUUUGUGUCUGAUAUGGAGGAAACUUCACACUAACAGGUGUAAACUUUACAAAAUGUC